UACGGGGGGGGCAAGCGUUGUUCGGAAUUACUGGGCGUAAAGGGCUCGUAGGCGGCCAACUAAGUCGGAUGUGAAAUCCCCAAGCUUAACUUGGGAACUGCAUCCGAUACUGGAUGGCUUGAAUCCGGGAGAGGGAUGCAGAAUUCCAGGUGUAGCGGUGAAAUGCGUAGAUAUCUGGAGGAAUACCGGUGGCGAAGGCGGCAUCCUGGACCGACAUUGACGCUGAGGCGCGAAAGCCAGGGGAGCAAACGGG
rnacentral:rRNA from 1 species